rnacentral:rRNA from 1 species
AGCAGCCGCGGUAAUACGGGGGGCGCAAGCGUUGCUCGGAAUCACUGGGCGUAAAGCGCGCGCAGGCGGACCUUUUAGUCGGGUGGUUAAGCCCGGGGCUCAACCCCGGGUCACACCGGAAACGGGAGGUCUGGAGUGCAGAAGAGGAGAGUGGAAUUCCACGUGUAGCGGUGAAAUGCGUAGAGAUGUGGAGGAACACCAGUGGCGAAGGCGACUCUCUGGACUGUAACUGACGCUGAGGCGCGAAAGCGUGGGGAGCAAA